GUGUGCUUGUGUGAGCGUUUGGUUGAAUGAAUGUGGAGAGUUUGUGUGUGAGUGUGUAUUUCUCUAAAAAUCUACACAGUGAUCUUAUUUGAUCUGGUCGGAGUUUAGCUCCGCUCCGAUCAGAAAUGAUAGGAAAGCGCUCGCGAGCCUCCAUGGCGAUGAGCAGCGGGCGAGAACUUAACAUCGGAGCGGCCACGCUUCAUGUUGUGGUCAGAGGUGAUGAAUUGAUCAGAUAUACUAGUUCUCGGUGUGUUUGGGUUCAUCUCAAGCGUCACUAUGGACAAUGAGUAAAGAGGCGAUUCUGAUCUAA
ensembl:scaRNA